CGCCAAACACCGUCCUUUCGAGCAUUGCUUCACCUUCCAUUCCAAUCUCCACCGAAAAACGAGGAGCUCAUCAGGCUCGACGAUGUGGAGCCCCUUUCCCCUCUGGAAGAUCGCCUCCUCCUCCAGAUGGGAGAAAAGGCCGAUUUCUCCGUCGGUGCUCCGCGUGUCGCCGGCUUUCUCUGGUAACCGCAAUUACAUGACCAGGUAUAGACGUUGCUCCGUCGUUGCUUCUGCUUGAGCUGGAAAUUCUCUGUCUAGCUAUGAUCUUCGUAUUCCUACCUUUCGACUUAACUAGAUUGAUGUCGAGUGAGCGCGAGGUCUGAUGCCCCUAUUCCUGCGACUGAAAUCAAAACCUAAUUCAGUGAUCGGCGCGAUGUCUUUCGGAAGAGUCGUUCGGAGAUUCUGAUCUCCCGAACGAGCUUUGAAUCUUGGCGUACCAUUCGUUUGCGUCUUUUUCCUUGGUUGAAAUCCUUUUAGUAAGGGGAAAGCAUCAUCGCCGUCAUAAGACGAGGUACUGUCGCUCGAGAUGUAUCAACAUUGGUCGGUUUGAUAGAGGCUCUGUGAAGUGACGGGAUCCGCACUUGAACUAAAUGAUACAACUUGGGCUGGGUCAGUUUUACCUUCUUAUCUUGAUACGCAGGAGUACACACCGGUUAGCGUAAUAGUUAUGCUUGGUGUUAGUGCAUACUCCAUUUUUCUCGGGCACUUUCUCGUAUCCUAUCACCCAUCUUUUCCCUGAUAUGUGAAAACAAGGCUUAUGUGAUCAGUCAAUGUUUCGCCUAGCACGUCCUGGUAUGCGCAACGGAAAUUGCAUCAUGGAUCUGGGAGACAUUUUGCUCCGUAUUUCAUUUGAAAUACCUAACUCUGGAAAGAGUAAGCAUGUUUGGGUUUCGGUGCCCUCCCAGAAUGCUGGGCACAAAGGUUAAUGCAGUUGCAUCGGUUGGACUGACAAAUGGUUAGUUGAAAACAGGUGCACUCCACUGAUAGCAAUUUAGCAAACCUUAUUUUAUGCUCAGCUUCUUUGUCUGCGUUCUUACGUACAUGAACUGCUACGCGAGGGACAAGAGCGGGGGUCUCAGGUAGAUUAGAAGAUGAGAGGACUUGGUUUAUGGACUGCAUUUUUGGGAUUAAAGCUUGGCCAUGCCUCGUUGGGAGCUGAUAAAACAGUUAACAAUAAUGAUUCGUACUAGGAAAAUCCGUAGUCUCUUGGUGCCGCUUCUUGUCCGAGCCCACAAAGUGCCACUAUAAUGCUUAAGCUGCCCAAGUUGUGUGUCACCGUGACGUUACGUUAUGCAUCAAAACUUUAUUCCUCGGCGAAAUCAAUUCAUUAUGCUAAAGGUUCAUACCACA